rnacentral:lncRNA from 1 species
ACGUGGGCAACUGGAGUUCCUGAUGAGGAAGUGAUAAAAGAGCGAGCAAGGUAGGAGGGGUUGCUAUGCAGCAGGAAGCUGCACAUGCGCAACUGGAGUUCAAAGAAAGACAGAUGACAUCGAGGCAAGACCUAGAAGCCAGCGGGAGCAAACAAAAUAAAAGUUGACUGGAGCGUGGACACAGGAGCGUGGGCACAGAAGCGUGGACACACAGCCCUAGACUGGAGCGUGGACACACAGCUCCUUACCUCAAAGCGGGUAAGGAAAUUCUGAGAACAGAUGUUGACGGAAGUUGACCUUCAACCAAAACCUGUGCAUUCAGAAAGUACCGACCACAGCUUCCUCCCCCAGAUGACUGUAGCCUGAAACUGCUCCUUCACAGAGACCACCUAUGGAGAUAAGCUGAGCCAUCUCUUCAUCUGUGCCAUAUCUCAUAAACACAUUGAGC